UGAAUACGAGACGCUAAGGCGUCGAAGUAGUGUAUGUCAUACUUCCAAGAAAAGCUUGCACUGUCAUAGAUAAAAAACGCCUGUACCAUAACCGACACAGGUGGGUAGGUAGAGUAUACUAAGGGGCGCGAGAUAACUCUCUCUAAGGAACUCGGCAAAAUAACUCCGUAACUUCGGGAGAAGGAGUGCCUUAUUCUUAAGGUUGCAAUAACAAGAUCCAAGCAACUGUUUAUCAAAAACACAGGUCUCCGCUAAGUCGUAAGACGAUGUAUGGGGGCUGACGCCUGCCCAGUGCCAGAAGGUUAAAGAAGCUGGUUAGCAUUUGCGAAGCUAGUAACUGAAGCCCUGGUGAACGGCGGCCGUAACAAUAACGGUCCUAAGGUAGCGAAAUUCCUUGUCGGGUAAGUUCCGACCCGCACGAAAGGCGUAAUGAUUUGGAUACUGUCUCGGAGAGGGGCUCGGUGAAAUAGACUUGUCUGUGAAGAUGCGGACUACCUGCACCAGGACAGAAAGACCCUAUGAAGCUUUACUGUAACUUGAAAUUGAAAUUGGACUUUAUUCGCGCAGUAUAGGUGGGAGGCGUUGAUUAUAAUCUUGCGGGAUUAUUGGAGCCAUUAGUGAGAUACCACUCUUGUAAUGUUAGAUUUCUAACUUUGAAUCAUUAUCUGGUCAAAGAACAGUUUCAGGCGGGCAGUUUGACUGGGGCGGUCGCCUCCCAAACGGUAACGGAGGCGUACAAAGGUUUCCUCUGAACGGUUAGAAAUCGUAUCUAGAGUGUAAAGGCAUAAGGAAGCUUGACUGUGAGACCUACAAGUCGAGCAGGGACGAAAGUCGGUCUUAGUGAUCUGACGGUACUGAGUGGAAAGGCCGUCACUCAACGGAUAAAAGUUACUCUAGGAUAACAGGCUGAUCUCCCCCAAGAGUUCACAUCGACGGGGAGGUUUGGCACCUCGAUGUCGGCUCAUCGCAUCCUGGGGCGGUAGUACGUCCCAAGGGUUGGGCUGUUCGCCCAUGAAAGCGGUACGCGAGCUGGGUUCAGAACGUCGUGAGACAGUUCGGUCCAUAUCCGGUGUAGGCGUUAGAAUAUUGAGAGGAGCCUUCUUUAGUACGAGAGGACCGAGAAGGACAUACCUCUGGUGUACCAGUUAUCGUGCCAACGGUAGACGCUGGGUAGCUAUGUAUGGAGUGGAUAACCGCUGAAAGCAUCUAAGUGGGAAGCCCACCUCAAGAUAAGUAUUCUCA
rnacentral:rRNA from 1 species